rnacentral:misc_RNA from 1 species
AGGGGCAUUUCAAUCAGAGGAGAAGGCUGCUCGCAGUUUGUAGCGUGAUGUUGCGUGCUGGAGUCAGCGAUGAUUGCGAAGAAGAGUGUCCUUGGCUUCGUUCACACGGGCAGCGAGGUACGUCGAGCCCCCCUGGUCGGGAUGCAGUUUCUUCAUCAGCCCACGAUGGGCCUUGCCGAUUUCGUCGCGCCCCGCUCCCGGCUUCAGGCCAAGGAUCUGAUAGGCCUCCUCCGUCGUCAUUUUUCCACUCGGCGCCGCGCGGCGAUCCUCGCUUCCACCCCGGCCUGCCCCUUCGCCCUGCGCGUGCUCACGCCAGGCGGGAAACCGGCGGUCCAGAUAGCUUUCCAGAAGAGCCCAGCUCUCGGCGUCGAACCCGCGC